UACGUAGGGACCAAGCGUUGUUCGGAUUUACUGGGCGUAAAGGGCGCGUAGGCGGCGCGGUAAGUCACUUGUGAAAUCUCUGAGCUUAACUCAGAACGGCCAAGUGAUACUGCAGUGCUAGAGUGUGGAAGGGGCAAUCGGAAUUCUUGGUGUAGCGGUGAAACGCGUAGAUAUCAAGAGGAACACCUGAGGUGAAGACGGGUUGCUGGGCCAACACUGACGCUGAGGCGCGAAAGCCAGGGGAGCGAACAGG
rnacentral:rRNA from 1 species